UACGUAGGGUGCGAGCGUUGUCCGGAAUUAUUGGGCGUAAAGAGCUUGUAGGCGGUUUGUCGCGUCUGCUGUGAAAAUCCGGGGCUCAACCCCGGACUUGCAGUGGGUACGGGCAGACUAGAGUGUGGUAGGGGAGACUGGAAUUCCUGGUGUAGCGGUGGAAUGCGCAGAUAUCAGGAGGAACACCGAUGGCGAAGGCAGGUCUCUGGGCCACUACUGACGCUGAGGCGCGAAAGCGUGGGGAGCGAACAGG
rnacentral:rRNA from 1 species